GAUGAACGCUGACAGAAUGCUUAACACAUGCAAGUCUUUGGCAAAGCUGUGCUUGCACAGCCUAGCCAAGGCGGACGGGUGAGUAACGCGUAAGGGACUUGCCCUGCAGUCAGGGAUAACAGACGGAAACGACUGAUAAGACCUGGUAAAGUCAGGCGGACUCAUGUCCAGCCUGAUGAAAAGGAAUGCUGCAGGAGAGCCUUGCGUCCUAUUAGCUUGUUGGUGGGGUAACGGCCCACCAAGGCGAUGAUAGGUAGCCGGCCUGAGAGGGUGGACGGCCACAAGGGGACUGAGAUACGGCCCUUACUCCUACGGGAGGCAGCAGUGGGGAAUAUUGGACAAUGGGGACAACCCUGAUCCAGCAAUUCUGUGUGCACGAUGAAGGUCUUCGGAUUGUAAAGUGCUUUCAGCAGGGAAGAAAAAAAUGACGGUACCUGCAGAAGAAGCGACGGCUAAAUACGUGCCAGCAGCCGCGGUAAUACGUAUGUCGCGAGCGUUAUCCGGAAUUAUUGGGCAUAAAGGGCAUCUAGGCGGCCCUGUAAGUCUAGGGUGAAAACCUGCGGCUCAACCGCAGGCCUGCCCCGGAAACUACAGGGCUAGAGUGCUGGAGAGGUGGACGGAACUGCACGAGUAGAGGUGAAAUUCGUAGAUAUGUGCAGGAAUGCCGAUGAUGAAGAUAGUUCACUGGACGGUAACUGACGCUGAAGUGCGAAAGCUAGGGGAGCAAACAGG
rnacentral:rRNA from 1 species